rnacentral:rRNA from 1 species
UAGAGUUUGAUCAUGGCUCAGGACGAACGCUGGCGGCGUGCCUAACACAUGCAAGUCGAACGAGAAACCCAUUUGUGAUCCCUUCGGGGUGAACUGUUGGGUGGAAAGUGGCGGACGGGCGAGUAACGCGUGAGUAACCUGCCCAUAAGAGGGGGAUAAUCCUUGGAAACGAGGACUAAUACCGCAUAUUGAAAUUUUAUGGCAUCAUAGAAUUUUGAAAGAUUUAUCGCUUAUGGAUGGACUCGCGUCAGAUUAGCUGGUUGGUGAGGUAACGGCUCACCAAGGCGACGAUCUGUAGCCGAACUGAGAGGUUGAUCGGCCGCAUUGGGACUGAGACACGGCCCAGACUCCUACGGGAGGCAGCAGUGGGGAAUAUUGCGCAAUGGGGGCAACCCUGACGCAGCAACGCCGCGUGCAGGAAGAAGGUCUUCGGAUUGUAAACUGUUGUCGCAGGGGAAGAAGACAGUGACGGUACCCUGUGAGAAAGUCACGGCUAACUACGUGCCAGCAGCCGCGGUAAUACGUAGGUGACAAGCGUUGUCCGGAUUUACUGGGUGUAAAGGGCGCGUAGGCGGGAUAGCAAGUCAGUCGUGAAAUGCCGAGGCUUAACCUCGGAGCUGCGAUUGAAACUGUUAUUCUUGAGUAUCGGAGAGGAAAGCGGAAUUCCUAGUGUAGCGGUGAAAUGCGUAGAUAUUAGGAGGAGCACCAGUGGCGAAGGCGGCUUUCUGGACGACAACUGACGCUGAGGCGCGAAAGUGUGGGGAGCAAACAGGAUUAGAUACCCUGGUAGUCCACACCGUAAACGAUGGAUACUAGGUGUAGGAGGUAUCGACCCCUUCUGUGCCGCAGUUAACACAAUAAGUAUCCCACCUGGGG